AAAAUUAAGCUCGUUUCCAUUAAAUUAUCUGAUUGUAUGAAUCUGCUUGUCCUCCUGACAGCUACGCAUAAAUUUCUCUAUAUUCGGAGAUGAAUUCAAGAAAAAACAUUGGAUCGGAAGACCGAGGUUCUACCCGUUUUGGAAAAUGUUCUCGAUUCGUUACAAUACCGAGAACUGUCGCAUUAACGAGGCCAAUAACGGUGCCGGCAGGUGCCACGUGCCAAGUUACAUGCCACUGUCGCUGUCCAUCAUCGUUCUUACUUUCUUGCUCUCGGAGAGUGCAAUAUUUUGAAUGAAAUCUACGUAACAUCACACUGGAUACCACUGUUGUAUCUUCGAUGAGAAAGCAGGCCGCGACAAAACGUGACCAAUGUAGAGAAUAAGAUAUGGGCGGAAAUUAUAGAUUGGAAUUAUAAUAUUAGAAUCUCUAAUAUGUUCAACCUUUUUGGAAUUUAUUCGUAACUUUUGAAAGUCAAGGGAUAAAGGAAGAAAUUGACAUUGCGAAUGAAUUGAUUUGGCUGGCUGUUCUUAAUCGGUUUAAAGGCGACGACGAGGAAGCGUGCCACGACCGGAUUUUCUCCAACCCCGUGUCACGUGCAACGCUUGUCGUAACAUUAUGCGUAAAAAAUAUUCAACGACUGCGUAAAUCAUCUCGAAAAAGAGAAAUCGCAACGCGAUAAGAAUACACGGGGACAAGAUCAUCAGGAAAAAAGUAAACGAUGCCCAGCAGCGUGUCUCCCUCCAUCAGUCAAAUUCGAUCACAAGGUUGAUGGAUCGCAGGUGAACAAGCGUAGUGUCUCGAACUGAAAUUCUCUCGGUCACGGAUAAAUUAAAGUGAAAACUAUUAAUUACAAGGUGGAAGU